rnacentral:rRNA from 1 species
AUGGCCGAAUGCUUCAAUAGGGUGCUCAAAGGUGCACGUGGAUUACCCGUGACGGCAAUAGUUCAAUACACAUUUGACAAGAUGAAUGCGUACUUUGUAAAGUACUCGAUGGAAACCGAUGCACAGAUAGCGGGUGAGAACCCACGGAAGUACAAGUACAAGUUCCCACCCAAAGUUGAUGAAUGGUUGCUAUUUCAAUCACGGAAGGCGGACUCAGAAGAAGCUAUAUUAUAUGACAAUGAGGAGUGGAAGUACGAAGUGAAAGAGUCAGGAGGAACCACAAACGAUGGCCGGCAACAUGGAGGUCGGGCUUUCAAGGUGUCGUUAACACAAUGUGAUUGCACUUGCGGGAGGCCAUUGUUGCUUCAUCUCCCAUGCUCACAUUUGUAUGCCGCCGGCCGCGUUAGGAAUGUGGACAUCAAUCACCCACGCACCGUGAGGGAGUCCCAGUUCUCAAUCAUGACGGUCAAGAAAACAUGGGCUCCCCGCUUUCACCCAUACUUUGACCAAUCACAAUGGCCGGAGUAUCAUGGAGUUCAACUAUGGCCGGAUCCGGAGUUGAAGGUUGUUAAACGGGGUAGACGUAAGACAAAGCGUCUUAGAGGCGACAUGGAUGGAUGGGGCCAUGGUGGGCGCCGCGAAGCGGGCAACGACCAAUUCCAAGAGCCUCGUGAGAGCUCCCGUUGUGGGGAGUGCAAAGGCACCACAACAAAAGAAAAUGUACGAAACCAAGGAAAAGGUCCAAGAAAAAUGAUGCAACCCAACGUCUCCUUGUAUGCAACCCAACGUUGCUCCGAGUUUACACGCAUUGUCUUCCAACGGAUGUGCAUUCCAAAACCAACAUUAUGCCUUCCCUCCAACUCAAUGAUAUCACUAGGGUCCAUCCAAUUCAAAUCUUUCCUAACUUGUUGCAAGAGCUCCGCAUAG